CUUGCAAACUAAAGAUGGCGACCGGCGCACGGGUGAGUAACACGUAUCCAACCUGCCGAUAACUCGGGGAUAGCCUUUCGAAAGAAAGAUUAAUAUCCGAUAGUAUAUUAAAACCGCAUGGUUUUACUAUUAAAGAAUUCGGUUAUCGAUAGGGAUGCGUUCCAUUAGUUUGUUGGCGGGGUAACGGCCCACCAAGACUACGAUGGAUAGGGGUUCUGAGAGGAAGGUCCCCCACAUUGGAACUGAGACACGGUCCAA
rnacentral:rRNA from 1 species